CGAAGUGGAGAGUUUGAUCCUGGCUCAGAACGAACGCUGGCGGCGUGCCUAACACAUGCAAGUCGAACGAGAAAG
rnacentral:rRNA from 1 species